rnacentral:rRNA from 1 species
GAUGGGAGCUUGCUCCCUGAUGUUAGCGGCGGACGGGUGAGUAACACGUGGGUAACCUGCCUGUAAGACUGGGAUAACUCCGGGAAACCGGGGCUAAUACCGGAUGGUUGUUUGAACCGCAUGGUUCAAACAUAAAAGGUGGCUUCGGCUACCACUUACAGAUGGACCCGCGGCGCAUUAGCUAGUUGGUGAGGUAAUGGCUCACCAAGGCAACGAUGCGUAGCCGACCUGAGAGGGUGAUCGGCCACACUGGGACUGAGACACGGCCCAGACUCCUACGGGAGGCAGCAGUAGGGAAUCUUCCGCAAUGGACGAAAGUCUGACGGAGCAACGCCGCGUGAGUGAUGAAGGUUUUCGGAUCGUAAAGCUCUGUUGUUAGGGAAGAACAAGUACCGUUCGAAUAGGGCGGUACCUUGACGGUACCUAACCAGAAAGCCACGGCUAACUACGUGCCAGCAGCCGCGGUAAUACGUAGGUGGCAAGCGUUGUCCGGAAUUAUUGGGCGUAAAGGGCUCGCAGGCGGUUUCUUAAGUCUGAUGUGAAAGCCCCCGGCUCAACCGGGGAGGGUCAUUGGAAACUGGGGAACUUGAGUGCAGAAGAGGAGAGUGGAAUUCCACGUGUAGCGGUGAAAUGCGUAGAGAUGUGAAGGAACACCAGUGGCGAAGGCGACUCUCUGGUCUGUAACUGACGCUGAGGAGCGAAAGCGUGGGGAGCGAACAGGAUUAGAUACCCUGGUAGUCCACGCCGUAAACGAUGAGUGCUUAGUGUUAGGGGGUUUCCGCCCCUUAGUGCUGCAGCUAACGCAUUAAGCACUCCGCCUGGGGAGUACGGUCGCAGGACUGAAACUCAAAGGAAUUGACGGGGGGCCCGCCCAAGCGGUGGAGCAUGUUG